rnacentral:rRNA from 1 species
UACGUAGGGUGCGAGCGUUGUCCGGAAUUAUUGGGCGUAAAGGGCUCGUAGGCGGUUUGUCGCGUCGGGAGUGAAAAUCCAGGGGCUUAACUCUGGACUGGCUUCCGAUACGGGCAGACUAGAAGGUAUGCAGGGGAGAACGGAAAUUCCUGGUGUAGCGGUGAAAUGCGCAGAUAUCAGGAGGAACACCGGUGGCGAAGGCGGUUCUCUGGGCAUUACCUGACGCUGAGGAGCGAAAGUGUGGGGAGGCGAACAGG